AGUGAGGAGGUGGAUCUGCGUGGAAAGACAAUUCAUUCAUGGUCAUUUGGAUUGACCUCUCCUCCGGAGCAAUCGGAUAUAUGGAUCUGCAUCCAUCCAUCCUUACCGUUCCUAUGAAUAUAUAUUCACACGUCUUCUGAUACUCUAUUCAAGGGAUCUCGACUCUUAAGGUGAGAUCCCUUGAACAAGUGCUUCACUCGGUAGGUGGAUAUUGUAUCCUUUAAUGGAAGGAUCGUUGAUUGUGCAAGUGCCUCUUCAUUUCAAGUUCCUCCACGGAAUCAUUGUAUACUUCUUCAUUACUACUGAGUCUCUUUUGUGAUUGGAAAA
rnacentral:lncRNA from 1 species